UUCUGGAAGCAAAGCCAAAGAAGAAGAUGAAAAAAUUUAAAGAGUAUCACCUCCUCAAGUCUCUGUGUGAGUUUAAAUUUUAAGAGGAGCUACUACAUCACAGGAGAUAUUUGGAAAUUUGCAUUUUCCAAGAGCAGUCUUUUCUCCAGAUAAAAUAAAAACCAUCUCUUUUACACCAGGCCUUAUAGCCCAAAAGAUGAUGGAGCAGAAAAGUUUAUAGAUCAGUCUUUGUGCUGUUGAGACACAUGACAGAUAACCAGGCAACUUUUCUGUGUGAAACAUAACACACUCCCAACGGUGUAUGUGCCCCAAGCUUAUGUGUGAUCCCUGGAGCUACCUGUAACUCCACCCAUUUUUCUCCUGUUUCAGAAAGCACACCAGAAUGCUACCGAGAAUGACAGUCAAAGGGAUAACCUUGAAUCUGCUCUAUUCAUUUAAAAAAGCCCAUCAAACCUUAAUGAUCAUAUAAAAAGUCACUUGCAAAGUACCUUGCCAGUGAUUAAAACACACCUGUGAGUUGCAGAUGCUGCCGUUGACAGCUCUAGCUAAUGAGUCAGAUCCACUCAUUUUACAGAUGAGACCCAGAAGGUAGGGUGAUUUUCAAAAAGUCACACAUAAGUAGCUGGUGGCAAAGCUGGAACCCUUGGGUAGCAGGAGAACAGAGAAGGGCUGGGGAGCAGGGGCCCGUCUAAAGAUGAGUAGCUGGGCGAGGCAGGUGGGUCUGAGGUGGCUCAGAAAGGUAGCCCAGGCCCCUAACUCAAGACAAAGGGGCCGAGUUAGGGGCAGGAUUUGUUUGACCAUUGCUGUUAACUUGUAGGGAUUCCCAAGGGAAAGACAGGAGGAAAAACACUUAAUUUCUGAGUCUCUCUCUGCUGGGCACUGAAGAUACAGAAAUGACAACCACAGAUUUCAGGUCCUCUCCUGAGGAAUCUUCUACCCAGAAGGGGACAGCCAGGAAAACAAAGACCUAAUAUAUGAUAGAAGAAAUGUUAUAUUUUGUAUUUAUUUAUCUUUUUAAAGACACGGUCUUUUACCUAGGCUAGAGUGCACUGUGCAGUGGUACCUUCUUAGCUCACCGCAGCCUUGAACUCCCAGGCUCAAGCGAUCCUCCCACCUCAGCCUCCCGAGUAGCAUGCCCCACCACACCUGGAUAAUUUUUAAAUUUUUUGUAGAGAUGGGGAGGGGGGGUCUCACUUUGUUGCCCAGGCUGGUUUUGAACUACUGGCCUCAAGCUAUCCCCCAGCUUUAGCCUCCCAAAGGGUUGGGAUUAUAGGCGUGAGCCACCGCGCCCGGCUGAAAAGGACUUUAGUUCUGUGCUCCUCACACUUUAUUGGGCUGAAUCACCUGGUGUCUUGGUAAUUAUGGAUUCCGACUUAGGCUAGAGAGAACUCAAGAUUCUGCAUUUCUAGCAAGCACCCAGGUGAUCCAGGUGUUGCUGGCCCUCUGGCCACACCUUGAGUAGCCAGGCUUAAGAGCACAGGAAAGUCUAAUAUGGACUGUUCACUAUACCACUAGAUGGAAUGAAACAUACAAUAUGAAAUGUGAUUCUCCACAAUGACACCAAUUUUUUGUAAGGCCCACCUUGCUCACACAUGAGCAUGCCUUCUUUAUAGGCAACCUGACAAAUUGCAGAGCUAAGGAUCAGACACAGAAGCAUGAGACAAGGCGGAGACCCUAAGCCUCCAAGCAGUCAUAGAAUCCAGACUGCUAUGGACUACGGCAUUUGAAGCAAAGCUUAUUUAGAUCUCAAGCGACAGGAAAGCCCCAGCUGACAUACAUCUGGGUUACAUUUUGAUUUACAACCUUGUCAACUUGUUAAAUUCCCCUUCUGAAACUCUUUCUUCCUGUAUGGAGUAGCCCCUGAUCUGGGGUCCAAGCUUGCUUAUAUAAUAGUUUUCUACUGAGUCCCAUUACCGAGAACAUGGCCAGAUGGGUCGUGCUAACUCCUGUACAGCUCUAGUGUUUUUAUUUGACUCUGGUUUUGUGACAUCUUUGCCACCUGCUAAUGACUGUGGUCUACAGGCCAGCCGGACAGCCUGUCAUCUCGGAGCCUGAGAUUCAUACGGAUGCAAGCAGGUGCCAUUUCAGUGUGAUCUCUCUGGGACAAGGCUGCUUUUCAGAAGAAGGUGGAAGCAUCUGGGUGGCUGAAGUGCUGCUAAUAGAUUUAAUAGCCUUGCUCCAGGAAGGCAGAGGAAGUGCUGAGCUUUUUAUCAGCACCGAUGAGCAGGGCUGUUUUAAGAGAAUGAUAUUGGCUCUUUAGACAGACACAUGUGGGUGGCUGUCUGGGUUGGCACCUAUAUGGAUCUCACUGCCAUUAAGGGGGACUCUGAGGUGAUAAAUUAGACUUUGUUAUUUGAGCAGUCUCCUCUUUCUUUUUAGGAAACCCAACAGCUCUCUUGUUCAAUUCCAAGAAGCCUCUCUGUAGCCAGCCCCGGGGCAAACCUUAUCACUGCAAACCUUUCUGGGCCUUCAACAAAGGCAGCCACAUGAGGAACAGGGGAUCCAGCCUUUUAAAGUGAUCAAGACAUCCAGAAAGCAAGAGGGCUUUGGCUUCUGGAGAUUGCUUUGGAGGGGGGAUACCAGGGGGGUGAUUUUUCAUUUUGGUAGAACUACGUAAGCAGAAUUAGGAGACAGAAUGCAAUCAUCUGAAUGAAUAAUUAGCCCCUGGUCUUACAAAUAUAAUUAAUGUUUUUUAAAUUGAUGCAUUUUGCAUUAAAAAAAUCUUCUAGGUGGCACAUGGCCCACAAUUGUGAAGUUCUUCAGACCAGUGGUUCUUUGAUGUAAUAGCAGUGAUCACUGAGAAAAAACGGAGUGGGAUUAAAACUGGAAAUUAUGCAUAACUUGUAUCCUAUUUUAUCUAUAUUGCUGCCUUAAAACUAAAGCAGCAGCAGCAAUAACAACAACACACACAAUUCAGCUUCUGAGAGUUGAACGUGACCCCACAUAUAUGUCUCUCCCUGGGGAAAAGGUCCAGAACCAUUGCUCAUAGUGUAAGAGUUUGAAGAAACCAGUUUAUUGAGGGUGACACCCUCAUUUGGUAGAUAAGAAAACAGGCAGAGAGGUAAGUGACUUACCCAAGGCUGCAUGGUAAACUACAGACAGAGCCAAGAUAGAACGCAGCUGCUUUAUCUCCUGGUAAAAUUCAUCCCCAUGACAGAAUUGUUUUUAAAAAUUUCACCUAAUCUUCUUCCAUUAUUUAAAAAAUUAAUUGGGUCAUACAAAGAAGCUGGGGAUGCCACUUCAAACUAACCAUUAGCAGCAUUUAAAAAUGAGCUUUCUUUUUUAUUUUUAUUUUUAGAAACAGGGUCUCACUCUGUCACCUAGGCUGGAAUGCAGUGGUGCAAUCAUAGCUCAUUGUAACCUUGAACUUUUAGGCUAAUUUUUAAAAAAAAUUUUUGUAGAGACAAGGUCUCCCUAUGUUGCCCAGGCUUGUCUUCAACUCCUGGCCUCAAGUGAUCCUCCCACCUCAGCCUCUCAAAGGGCUGGGAUUACAGGUGUGAGCCACCACACUCAGCCAUAACUAGCUUUCGACGUAGUGUUUAGUCCUUAGCUCUUAGAUUCAAUAAUUGUCCUGAAAUUUAAAUGUUUUUUUCUUAAGUUAUGAUGAAAUGUCAAAGAUCUUUAAUCAUUAAGGUGUGCUAUGUUAUAAAGAUCUAUUUUACUUGUAAAGUUUAGAAAAAAAAUCAGAAAAAGAUUAUUCUAGUUGAUAUGAAAAAUUAAAAAAAGUUCUAUGACACAGCAAGCAACAUUUCUGCAGGAAAAUUAUUAACAUGGCAGAAUAUUAGUGGAUAAACUAGUCCCACCUUUCACUCUCUUUUUUUUUUCCUACCUACUAUGUGAAGAGAAAUUGGCUAGAUGACAGCUUCUAAUGGGCUUCCAAUUUAGUCUGGUUUGUACUGUCUCUUUUAGAGCAAUUUUGCAGCUCUUCAGAGGCUUACAGGAUAAGAAAGUGAGAAAGUCAACUGGGGAUCAAAUCUUUGACAACAUCUAUUUCAGGUCCUGUGCUCCACAGGGUGAAGAGGAGUUUCCAGACUAUCAGCUGAUGGGACUGGGGCUGUCUACCCAGGGAAGAAAAGAUUUACAAGACACAACGCUGCUUCACAUUGCUGGAGGGCUAUUGUGGGGCAGAGAUAUUCCCCCAAAGCCCCCUAAAACCAAAUCUAAGACCCACAGAUAGAAAUUUUUACAAAUCACUAGCCUGGAUGAAAAUUUAGCAAGAAAAGGGCUAAAAAGAAGGUACCCAUGGAUCCCUGAAGCCCAUCUUGAAUUAAGAAAACCUCUUUCCAUUUUACUGAUGAAAAUCUGAGGCUCAGAGAAGUGGAAUGGCAUGAAAUAGAACUAUGGAAGUAAUUCCCCAUGGGCCAGAUGACUUUGUGAGCAGAUGAGUCAGACACAUGGGCCAACCAUUAACAAUCUGGUGAUGUUCACGGGAGCAUUGACUAAUUACCAAGUGAAAAGGAGAUGAGCAGUAGCAAUGGAAGUGUUAUGAGCAGUUUUUUAAAAAUCUGAAAGUUGGUUUAUGAAAAAGGAUUUAGAUUUUUCUCUUUGGCUUCCAGGGGUAGCUUCAAGACCAAAGGGUAGAAAAGAACUUUUGCUAGACAGAGCCCUCCACUAAUGGAAUAUGCUAUCUUGAGAGGUACAGGACUUCUUGCACUUGACUUUUUGGGGACACAGAACAAUCUCUCGUAGAAGGGACUUAAGCAUCACAAGAGUUUGAACUGGGUUACCAAAACUGGACGUGACGAUGAAACUCUUAGAAACAUAAUCACAUAUACUAGCCAGGAAGGAGCUCAGGUCUCCCAGUAAGUGAAGUGAAGAAAGUUCAGGAUGGCUGAGACAUCAAGUGAGAGGGUGGUGGUAGUGGAGAGAAAUGAGACUUAGAAAUGUAAGUGGAAGUGAAAGAAAUGUUGAAGGAUCUUACAGAGCACCAUGGCUGGUAUUUAAGAAUGAGGGGGCUGGGCGUGGUGGCUCAUGCUUGUAAUCCCAGCUCUUUGCGAGGCUGAGGUGGGUGGGUUGAGGUCAGGAGUUUGACACCAGCCUAGCCAACAUGGUGAAACCCCAUCUCUACUAAAAAUACAAAAAUUAGCUGGUCGUGGUGGCACACACCUGUAAUCUCAGCUACUUGGGAGGCUAAGGCAGGAGAAUGGCUUGAACCCAGGAGGUGGAGGUUGCAGUGAGCUGAGAUCGAGCCACUGCACUCCAGCCUGGAUGACAGAAAGACUCUGUCUCAAAAAAAAGAAGAACGAGGGUUUGUAUAGAGUGGUGGUGGCACAGAAGAAUGAAAGCAAAAGGCUAUCAAAGGGGGAAUGCAUACAAUCAAUGGUAGCAGCACUAGCAAGCACAUAAAAAGGCCAGAAGAGAGACAGACUGUGGUGAUGGGCUGCUUGCAUUUGCAUGUCGGUGUGUUGCAGAGUCUGAAGUUAUAGUGAAAACAGGACAUGCAAAUGGAAACGUCCAAUGAUCUAAAGUGUUGGCAAGUGACAAAAGCAUAGCAGAAAUGCCCAGUAGGCAACUGAAGAUAUGAGAUUAGAGUUCCAGGAGGUCAGGAUGUGAGACAGAUUAGGGGGCUAUCUACAGAGAUGAAUUAAUUUAAAAUUUAAGAGUAGAUACAUUUUCAAUGGAAAAAAGUAUAGCAUGAGCAGAAGUCUAAAAAGUUUGCCUUCAAGGCUGACUGCAGUGUGGAGAUGGAAUAAUUUAAAAGAUGUGAGAAGGGAGAAUCAGAGAGUUACAGGAGAUCUGAGAUUUGAGUGAAAUAAGAACCUGGCAAAAAGGGAGCUUCAGGGAAGAAGGGUGAUCAACAUAAAUAUGGUUUUAUUUUAGUGUACACUCAACCGUGUGCUUUGGCAGGUAAAUUAUAGUAAUGUUCAUUUUGGCAACAACAUAGGCAGUGCAGUGUGAAUUAUAAAGUGCUUUCAAAUUGAUUAUAGAUAUUCCUUAAAUAGCAUUUUCUAACAUUACCUGUCUUAGUAAAUAUCGCUAUAACUUUUUCUCUCCCGGUUUCUCUUUCAGUAAAUUAGAAAUCACUUUACUUAAGUUUAAUAAGUGCCUUUCACAUCCUCAUUUUGAGGAAAAUGAUUUCUGCCAUCCUAACAUAAUAAACUGGGAAAGGUACACCGAGGUGACAUGCUGUGCCUGGGCCAGCUUAGUCAAUGAGGCAGCAGCAGCAAGGACUGAGUUUAGCAUCCUGAUGUUUGUUUCUUCAAGCAAGAAUUAAACGCAAAAUUAAACACUGACUCAGAUUUUAAGAAAUAACUUUUGAGAAAUAGAACAAAUGAAAUCAGUUUCUCCACCACUUAAGUAUAUCUCUUAGAGAUCUACAGCCUCCCUUUAGGGGACAUACAAAGUCAGUUGUGUUGCCUUUGUUGAGUCCCACCUUAUAUUCAAGUAGGUAUGACUACAAAUUUUGAAAAUAGAUUGUCACACAAUAAACUGGAGUUUAUGGAAACAUCAGUAGAAGGAAAUACAACAUUCCAUCCCUUUACAGAGAUCAUUUACUUGCAACUCAGGAUAAUUUGUCAUGUGUAUUAUCUACUUAUGCUUGCCACUCACAUGCAGAGAACUUUUAUAAGAAGGCUGGAAAAAGAGGGGUGUAGAGGCUUUAUGUUGAUACUGGAUUCUUUGGCAAAAGUGAAAGGAAGAGGGCAUCAUUAAGAGAAGAGUACAACAUAGUAUUUCCUCGGAUGCCAUCUACUUCAGUAGCUUUAGAGUCACAGAAAAUGGUAUGUUUCUCUAUUUACUGAAGGCUGACAUGAUGAUUAGCAUUCCAGUACAUAGUGGUAUUUAACUUCUCAUUAAAAUGACUUAUCUUGCCUCUUA